rnacentral:rRNA from 1 species
GACGAACGCUGGCGGCGUGCUUAACACAUGCAAGUCGAACGGUAAGGCCCUUCGGGGUACACGAGUGGCGAACGGGUGAGUAACACGUGGGUGAUCUGCCCUGCACUUCGGGAUAAGCCUGGGAAACUGGGUCUAAUACCGGAUAGGACUCCGGACUGCAUGGUCUGGGGUGGAAAGCUUUUGCGGUGUGGGAUGGGCUCGCGGCCUAUCAGCUUGUUGGUGGGGUGAUGGCCUACCAAGGCGACGACGGGUAGCCGGCCUGAGAGGGUGACCGGCCACACUGGGACUGAGAUACGGCCCAGACUCCUACGGGAGGCAGCAGGGGGGAAUAUUGCACAAUGGGCGCAAGCCUGAUGCAGCGACGCCGCGUGAGGGAUGACGGCCUUCGGGUUGUAAACCUCUUUCAGCAUCGACGAAGCGAAAGUGACGGUAGGUGCAGAAGAAGGACCGGCCAACUACGUGCCAGCAGCCGCCGUAA